CAGAAAUCUGUCCUAUCUCUACCCCUUCUGUGAGGAGUUCCUUUGAGCCGCAGGUUGGAUGGAAAGUCAGAAACAUGCCUGUUCCCAUAUCAGAACAAGAAAAACUUAGGGCUGUAAUAAGAGAGGAAAACAAACAAACCUUUUUUAAAUAAAAAAGUGUAUUCUUAACAAAAAGGUGGAUGCUUCAGUUGGCUGUUCCUGCGAAAUGCCAGCAUUGGAGAGCAGAGGCCGUGAGCCCAAGGGAGAGGUGGGUCACUGAGAUACAGCGCUUGGAGCCAUGCUGUGUCUGCCCAGGGUCCAAAUCGGCCGUGGCUGCCCCUCCGUGACCUGAGCCCCCUGGUCUGGGUACAAGCUGAACAGCCCAUGUUUGUCAAUGAGCCCCCCAGUCUUAGAAAGGAGUUCUGAGUUCUGACCAUCACAAACGGAGCUGUCUGCUUGUGGCCAACGAGCAGUGGGUUUUCCUUCACACUGUGGGGUCUGGGUGCUCCAUCCCUGGAGACGCCCAAGGUCAGGCUGGACGGGCUCUGAGCACCUGAUGGAGCUGUGGGUGUCCCUGUGCACUGCAGGGGGUUGGACCAGGUGGCCUUUAAGGGUCCCUUCCAGUUCAAACGAUUCUAUGACUCUGUGAUUCCAUGUUUUGGGGCUGUCCUCGCAGAGUGGGGUCCCUCCUCUGCCAGAAACAAUUUCCAGCCUUGAAAGGGAAAAAAAAUAAUCCCAAAAAAUGCUGUCAGAGGUUUUCCCCCUCCCUCCUCAGGCAUAAGCGGCCGUGGGGGGGGGGGUGGCUGCCAGCCCCAGAAACAGCGGGAGAACAGCAGGCUCCGCGCCGCCUGAAGCACAACCUCCGCGCUCCGCAGCCCCAGCCCCAGGCGCAGCCCGGCCCCCGACAGGCGCCCCGGGAGGGGCUGAGCCCGCCCCGCUGCCCGCGUGCGGGAUCGGCUCUGCUGGGCGGCGGCGGGAGCGAGCGGAGCGGCGGAACCGGAGCUUCCCGGCUCCCAUCUCUCGGUGUGUGAGCGAGGACACGCGGACACCGCACCCGGAGCCAGCGGAGCGGUGCCAGGAGCAGCAGUAAGUAUGCGGGGUGGGCACGGGGCCAUGGGACACGCGGGGACACCUCCCUGAUGCCAGGACCGCGCUGCUCGGGGUCAUGGGACGUCUCGGCAGCCCCUGCGGAGUCAGCACGGAGCACGCAGAUGGGAUAGUUCUGUUGACUUUUUGCUGUCAUCGGUGAGUCAGCGGCAAGUCCCAGUCUGUAUGUCGGCAGGGAGGGGCCAGCCAGGAAAUCAGUCACAAAAAUGGAAAAAAAAAAGGAGAAACCCCCGAGAAUUCGAGCCUUACUUGGUUGUUUUUUGAAGUUUACAUUUUGUUUGACUGGUUGAUAAGAGCGCGUUAGUCAGCGCGGGGCGUGCUGCUCUGCGUGCCCCCCCUGUGCCAGCGCAGCUCCGCACCGCUACGACCGACGCCCAGAGUCCGCAGCAGCGCUGAGCACAGCUCCCUGCGAUCACCCGCACCGAGGGGUCCGCCACUGGAGGGGCACUGCGCUGCGGGACAGCGCCUGAACACAACGGCGGCACUGGUGGCCGUGCUGCAGGGUCCUGCACCUGAACACAACGGCGGCACUGGUGGCCGUGCUGCAGGGUGCUGCGUGCGUGCCCCGAGCCGUGGGGGCU
ensembl:lncRNA